rnacentral:sRNA from 1 species
UAAACAGAGAGAAGUGCACUUUGCCAAA